GACGAACGCUGGCGGCGGGCUUAACACAUGCAAGUCGAACGGCAAGGCCCUACGUGCUUGCUGUUCUCGAUGGCCGAAGGGGUGCGUAACACGUGUGUAACCUGCUCUUCUCUUUGGGAUGACUUCAGGAAACUGGGGCUAAUACCGUAUAGGAGCUCCUGCUGCAUGGUGGGGGGUGGAAAGUUUCGGCUGUUGGGGUUGGACUCGCGGCUUAUCGGCUUGUUGGUGGGGUAGCGGCUUACCAAGGCUUUGACCGGUAGCCCGCCUGAGAGGGUGACCGGGGACAAUGGGACUGCGAUACGGAGCAGAGUGGUAUGGGAGGCAGCAGUGGGAAAUAUGGUCCAACGGGAGGAAGCCUGAUAAGGAAACGCUGGGUGUGGGAUGCCGGUCUUUGGGUAGUAAAAAGCUUUAGCCUGUGACGAAGCGUGAGUGACGGUACUGGAUAAAGAAGCACCGGCUAACUACGUG
rnacentral:rRNA from 1 species